CCCAGACUCCUACGGGAGGCAGCAGUGAGGAAUAUUGGUCAAUGGGCGGAAGCCUGAACCAGCCAAGUCGCGUGAGGGACUAAGGCCCUACGGGUCGUAAACCUCUUUUGCCGGGGAUCAGUGCCCAGCUCGCGAGCUGGGAGGGAGCGUACCCGGAGAAAAAGCAUCGGCUAACUCCGUGCCAGCAGCCGCGGUAAUACGGAGGAUGCGAGCGUUAUCCGGAUUUAUUGGGUUUAAAGGGUGCGUAGGCGGUAUUUUAAGUUAGUGGUAAAACGUCGGGGCUUCACCUUGAUUGGCCAUUAAAACUGGAGUACUAGAGUACAGACGAGGUAGGCGGAAUAAGUUAAGUAGCGGUGAAAUGCUUAGAUAUAACUUAGAACCCCGAUAGCGAAGGCAGCUUACCAGACUGUUACUGACGCUGAAGCACGAGAGCGUGGGUAGCGAACAGGAUUAGAUACCCCAGUAC
rnacentral:rRNA from 1 species